UACGUAGGUGGCAAGCGUUGUCCGGAUUUACUGGGUGUAAAGGGAGCGCAGGCGGGAUGACAAGUCAGCUGUGAAAUGUGUGGGCUUAACCCAUAAACUGCAGUUGAAACUGUUGUUCUUGAGUGGAGUAGAGGCAAGCGGAAUUCCGAGUGUAGCGGUGAAAUGCGUAGAUAUUCGGAGGAACACCAGUGGCGAAGGCGGCUUGCUGGGCUCUAACUGACGCUGAGGCUCGAAAGUGUGGGGAGCAAAC
rnacentral:rRNA from 1 species